GGCUCUUUGAAAAGAAUGUAUAAAGAGUCGAACCUGCCCAGUGAAUUAUUUUAAACGGCCGCGGUACCCUGACCGUGCAAAGGUAGCAUAAUCAUUUGCCUUAUAAUUGAAGGCUGGCAUGAAUGGUCUGACGGGAGUAAUACUGUCUCCUCUUUAUUAUCUAAAAAUUAACCUAUAGGUGAAGAGGCCUAUAUUAAAUUGAAGGACAAAAAGACCCUGUCGAGCUUUAAAAAAGAGCAGGACGUUAGUUAUUUAAAUAAAAUCAAUGAACUGCAUUAUGGUUUUUAGUUGGGGCGACGAAGGAACAAACAAAGCUUCUUUUAUUUCUGUAAAUUUAUAAAUUUGGAUCCAGCAGAGCUGAUUGGAAAAAUUAGUUACCGCAGGGAUAACAGCAUAAUCUCCUUCAAGAGACCUAAUCGAAAGGGGGGGUUGUGACCUCGAUGUUGGACUAGAAUAUCCUGAAGAUGCAGACGUCUUCGAAGGUUGGUCUGUUCGACCAUUAAAAUUCU
rnacentral:rRNA from 1 species